GCCAGACUCCUACGGGAGGCAGCAGUGGGGAAUAUUGCACAAUGGGGGAAACCCUGAUGCAGCGACGCCGCGUGAGUGAAGAAGUAUUUCGGUAUGUAAAGCUCUAUCAGCAGGGAAGAAGAAAGACGGUACCUGACUAAGAAGCCCCGGCUAACUACGUGCCAGCAGCCGCGGUAAUACGUAGGGGGCAAGCGUUAUCCGGAUUUACUGGGUGUAAAGGGAGCGUAGACGGCCGUGCAAGUCUGAAGUGAAGGCCCAGGGCUCAACCCUGGGACUGCUUUGGAAACUGUGGAGCUAGAGUGCUGGAGAGGUAAGUGGAAUUCCUAGUGUAGCGGUGAAAUGCGUAGAUAUUAGGAGGAACACCAGUGGCGAAGGCGGCUUACUGGACAGUAACUGACGUUGAGGCUCGAAAGCGUGGGGAGCAAACAGGAUUAGAUACCCCAGUAU
rnacentral:rRNA from 1 species